UACGUAGGGGGCAAGCGUUAUCCAGAUUUACUGGGCGUAAAGCGCGUGUAGGCGGCUGGUUAGGCGUGAUGUGAAAUCUUCCGGCUCAACCGGAAAACUGCAUUGCGAACCGGCCUGGCUAGAGUGCAGGAGAGGGAAGCGGAAUUCCAGGUGUAGCGGUGAAAUGCGUAAAUAUACGAAGGAACGCCAAAAGCGAAGGCAGCUCUCUGGGUCCCUACCGACGCUGGGGUGCGAAAGCAUGGGGAGCGAACAGG
rnacentral:rRNA from 1 species